UACGAAGGGGGCUAGCGUUGUUCGGAAUUACUGGGCGUAAAGAGCGCGUAGGCGGCUUACCAAGUUGGGGGUGAAAUCCCGGAGCUCAACUCCGGAACUGCCUUCAAAACUGGUAGGCUCGAGUCCGGAAGAGGGGCGUGGAAUUCCCAGUGUAGAGGUGAAAUUCGUAGAUAUUGGGAAGAACACCGGUGGCGAAGGCGGCGCCCUGGUCCGGUACUGACGCUGAGGCGCGAUAGCGUUGGCAGCAAACAGG
rnacentral:rRNA from 1 species